GAUGAACGCUAGCUACAGGCUUAACACAUGCAAGUCGAGGGGCAUCAGUUUGGUUUGCUUGCAAACCAAAGCUGGCGACCGGCGCACGGGUGAGUAACACGUAUCCAACCUGCCUCAUACUCGGGGAUAGCCUUUCGAAAGAAAGAUUAAUAUCCGAUAGCAUAUAUUUCCCGCAUGGGUUUUAUAUUAAAGAAAUUCGGUAUGAGAUGGGGAUGCGUUCCAUUAGUUUGUUGGCGGGGUAACGGCCCACCAAGACUACGAUGGAUAGGGGGUUCUGAGAGGAAGGUCCCCCCA
rnacentral:rRNA from 1 species